rnacentral:rRNA from 1 species
CCCUUAGAUGUUCUGGGCCGCACGCGCGCUACACUGAUGCAUUCGACGAGCCUAUCCUUGACCGACAGGUCCGGGUAAUCUUUGAAUCUGCAUCGUGACGGGGAUAGAUUAUUGCAAUUAUUAAUCUUCAACGAGGAAUGCCUAGUAGGCGCAAGUCAUCAGCUUGCGUCGAUUACGUCCCUGCCCUUUGUACACACCGCCCGUCGCUCCUACCGAUUGGGUGUGCUGGUGAAAUGUUCGGAUCGGCCGUUUGUCGCGGUUUCCGCGGCUCGUGGCUGAGAAGUUCAUUAAACCCUCCCACCUAGAGGAAGGAGAAGUCGUAACA